ACGGGGGUUGCGAGCGUUGUCCGGAAUUACUAGGCGUAAAGGGCAGGUAGGCGGAUAUAUAAGUUUGAUGUUAAAGGCGACGGCUUACCCGUCGUGCGGCAUUAGAUACUGUAUAUCUGGAAUGCGGUUGGGGAAGACAGAAUUCCUGGUGUAGCGGUGGAAGGCGCAGAGAUCAGGAGGAAUACCGAAGGCGAAGGCAGUCUUCUAAGCCGUAAUUGACGCUAAACUGCGAAGGUGUGGGUAUCAAACAG
rnacentral:rRNA from 1 species